rnacentral:rRNA from 1 species
UACGAAGGGGGCUAGCGUUGUUCGGAAUUACUGGGCGUAAAGGGCGCGUAGGCGGCCUCGCCCGUCCGGCGUGAAAUGCCUGGGCUCAACCUAGGAAUUGCGCUCGAUACAGCGAGGCUAGAGUGUGGGAGAGGUUGGUGGAAUUCCCAGUGUAGAGGUGAAAUUCGUAGAUAUUGGGAAGAACACCGGUGGCGAAGGCGGCCAACUGGACCACAACUGACGCUGAGGCGCGAAAGCGUGGGGAGCAAACAGG